GUCCUGGCUGUAAACGGUGCUCACUUGCUGUAGACGGAAUCGACCCCGUCUGUGGCGAAGCUAACGCGUUAAGUGAGCCGCCUGGGGAGUACGGUCGCAAGAUUAAAACUCAAAGAAAUUGACGGGGGCCUGCACAAGCGGUGGAGUAUGUGGCUUAAUUCGAUGCAACGCGAAGAACCUUACCUGGCCUUGACAUGUAGGUGGUAGAAGUCUGAAAGGAUAACGACCCCGCAAGGGGAGCUUACACAGGUGCUGCAUGGCUGUCGU
rnacentral:rRNA from 1 species